CUGAUAUUUAUUACGAUCUUAUCUGUAAAAUUUGUCUGGGGUUCUCAAAAUCUGAAGCAGGCAGAAAUGGCAGAUGAUGGGACAGCAACUUGCAUAGACAUUAUUGUGGCUAUUCUCUUGCCUCCCCUUGGCGUCUUCCUUAGAUAUGGCUGCAAGGUACGUUUUCUUUGCUAGAAUAGAAAGAUUAAUCCGUAUUUAUCAUUAAAUACAUGAUUUUAAGUAUAAAUUUGUCCAGGUUGAAUUUUGGAUCUGUUUGCUGCUGACCAUCUUGGGUUACCUCCCUGGAAUCAUUUAUGCUGUCUACGCCAUCACCAAGAACUGAUCCCAUCCAACAACUGGUAAAUUUUUGACCUACGCACCAACCCUUAGCCAAUAAAAUAUCAGUUUAGUCAUAAAAAUCUUAAUUAUUCCAAAAAUAAUUUGGAGAGCUUCAUCAAAAAAAUAAAAAAAAAAGUUGCCCCAACCUUGAGGUCCCACCGUCCCGUCCCGUCCCUAGAGCUUCAUCAAUCUUAUUGUGGUGGUCCAAGAUCAUGAUAAAUAAUAAUUAUUCUUCCUGAUAUUUUUGACAGGUGAAGAAGAGAUGUGAAGGUUAAGUGUCAUAAAGUUUUUUCCUUUCUUGCUGGAUGGUGUUGAUAGUUUGGUGUUUUAUGAUUUCUUCAGUCCUAUCCUUUUCAUCUGUCUCUGGGCUGAUUAUUGUUAUUAUAUAUUCGUAUAUGUUUGUCAUCGAGUCAUCUUUGUUAAUGUCUUCAUUUGGUUUAUCAUGUAACUUCGAGAAGUAGUAAUUUAUUUAUUGCAAGUGUU
rnacentral:lncRNA from 1 species